ensembl:lncRNA
GUGCUGCCACUGCGGAUGCACUGACUGGGUAUUGUACAUUUUUUCCAACAUUGUGCAAAGUCAUAUCGACAAGAAUAAUACGAUGGAAGCAAAUUUCGUUCCAGUCAUUGGCAGCAGAGAACUGGAAGGAGAGACGGCCAAAGGAAAAAUUGGCUCUGGGGGUGACCAGAGAGAUAUACCUGCUGGAGCGCAUGCUACAGUCCCCACAGAUGCUGAUGAGAGUCCAGAACUGGAAUAUGCUGACAUCAAUAUUCUAAAGAAGAUGGAGAAACACAGGGAGGUUCCAGAGGAUGUGGAGUAUGGACAGGUUGUAGUAUUGAAGGGUUCCAGACCAACCACAGAGAGAGACAGACCUGAGGGGCGGGAGGAGACUAUGUAUGCUGGAAUACAGCUUGACCAAUGAGAGAGAUUCUUGUGAAGGGUUGAUAUUUAGACAUAGUAUUAAAGCUCUAUUGCUUCUUUUGUUACUGUAACUAUUAGUAUCUAACGUUCCCAUAUUUCUGUAAAUAUUUUCAUAAAAUGUAAAUGAACAACUAAACUGUAUACACUUGCCGUAGUGUGUCCUUGUUAUUGAUUUAAUGUGUUUUUGUAACGUUUGCUUCCAACUCACACUCUCAAACACGUAGAUCCCCUGAACGCAGCUCACUCUCCAAAUCCCAAUCACCUGAAUUUUGAUCACCUGUUCACACACCUGUAUGUCAUUUACACACACUAUGUUGUUCAGUUCUUGCACCCCAUCACUAUGAGGUAUUGUUUGUUUUGUGACACACGUCUUUCAGAGUGCUGGUUUUCCCAGUGAUUUACUUCUUCCGUGUAUGAUAGUGUUUGCCUGCCUCACUAAUGACGCCUUUUUGCCUUUUUUUGCCCCGGAUUUCCUGUUAUAUACAGUGGGGAGAACAAGUAUUUGAUACACUGCCGAUUUUGCAGGUGUUCCUACUUACAAAGCAUGUAGAGGUCUGUAAUUUUUAUCAUAGGUACACUUCAACUGUGAGAGACGAAAUCUAAAAAAAAAAUCAGAAACCCACGUACUAAAAUAACAUGCAAAACAGGCAACAACAAAAAAAGCUAGAUAAACAGGUGAACUCAAAACAGGUGUCCCACCUGCUCUGAAUUACGGGUCACCACUGGCUGUUAAUAUAAUGAAGAAGUGAGACUUCGAUGAGGCUCUUCCUCUUUCCUAUGUCAGAACCGAUGAAUAGGGUAAAAAUUACACCUCUUCUUUUGCUUGUCACACAAUGGGUGAAUUCUUCUGAGUGGCAGGAACAGCUAUCUCUCAUACUAUCCUUGCAUUGGUUUUUGUUUAUGCUGUAAGACAUUGCCAGAUUAUGGAAAUGCAGCUCUGAAUAGAAAAUAGAGGACUUUGUUGAAGUACCAAAGUUAAUUUGAUAAACUGAGACCCUGCAUUGUAAAGAGACAUGGAGGCUGUUUUAGGACUGUUGGUGAUGUCAGCAGGAGUGUCUCAUGGUAAGAAACAUCUUUAUAUGUGUUGGUUUCCCUCUUCUUUUAUGCAGAAUAUAAUAUCAGUAGUCUUCUAUACAUGUAGCAGAAAUGACGGAUGGUGAUAGACAAUAUUCAGAACAAGGUAGAAGACAGUUGUCACUUUACUCAUUGUCCCAUGAUAAUGAUCACUGACUUAAUGAUCCCUAUCACGUUGAUGCUGUUGGUUUGGUUAUACUGUUAGCCGCUUGUACCCUCAUCUGUAAAAUGAUACAUGACUUGACAUGGGUUAGAACAGUGAUAGUCACUACAGUGUCUAUUUUUCUUCUUGAUCUUCAGGCUUGGAAACUUCCUGUGAUGCUAGAGAAGAUGGAUCUCAGUGUUAUGGAGCUCUGGGAGGAACUGUCUAUCUCCAGCUGACUGAUACCAUGGCAUAUAAUCACUACUCAUUUUAUAAAGGCUCAACUGGUGCUAAAACAGAGAUACUGAAAACAAAGGUCACACUGGUAAUAAGAGACACCCCAAUUAGAGACAGAGUACACUUCUUUAUAAACAAUGGGACAUUUAGGUUAAAUAACACACAAAGGAAUGAUUCUGGUGAAUACCUGCUCACAAAAUAUGAUUCAGAAGGGAAAACAUCAGGGACCAUAGGACUACAACUGUUAAUCGAAGAUAAAUAACUAACUUGCCAAAUAAUUAUUACAAAUGAUAACUUUGACAAGCUAUUGCUCUGGCUAAACUACAAAUAUGUGACUACCUAAUAAUACAAAUAAUGAGAAAUGCAUUUUAUGUGUAACCAUGGAGUCAUUUUUAUUUUCAUAGUCUACUGUAGUUGGUACAUAGUCAUAACCACAUCCAUCAACAUUAAAUCAUCUGUUGUUUAUUUGAAAUACAGUCAUUAUGUGUCAUGAAUCUGCUGCUCCUGUUGACUACAGUAGUUUCUGUGGCUUUAAAGAAGAAUGGCUGGUGUUGUGUUGUAAUGUGUUUUUCCCUCUUACUACAGUUACAUAUCCUUCUUCCCCCACAGCUCCAGUGUCCAGUCCUCAGCUGUCCUCUGAGUGUCUGUCUCAUGGAGAGAUGAGGGUGUCCUGCUCCUCUGAGGGGGAUGGUUCCCAGUACAGCUGGACUCUGGAUCGACAGACGCUGAGACACACUAAGGCCUCUUCUGAUAACGAGACAAACACCAUCACUCUGAAGAAAGGCCUGUCAGGAAAUCUCACCUGUACCGUCAGAAACUACAUCAGCAGUGAUUCUAUCAGCAAGAGAAUCUCACCUUGUCCAGGAGUCAGUGUGUUUGUUUAUUUCCAACUCGCUGAAGUCUUCAUUCUUCUGACAGUCUGUCUGGGAUCAUACUGUUUCUACAAGAAGGAAACCUAUCAUCGUAAAGAAGCCACAGACAUGGUGACCACCUGUAAUGCUACUCAGAACUUAUCCCAGUGUUCUGUUGUUCUGGAUGGAACUCUGGAUGUCUAGCUAAUGACCAACGCUAGUGGACGGGAACUGCUGUUUAAAAAGAACCUCUGAACCACAGGUGGCCAGUGUGAAAAAUUCUAUGACGUACACUUUUAGAUUUCUCCAAAUGUUCAGAUUUUCACACUCAACUUCACACUUUUUAACAUAAAAACAAAAAACAAAUUAUGUUCUAAGCCCAUAACAAUUCUUAAACCACAUCAGGAGAUAACUUUUGACGUCUGCACACUUACCCCAAAAGUGUGCAGACACCUAGCAAUGUUGUUUAGUUUGCAGUGUUUCUGUAGCACAUGAGAUGGAGUUUGCAAAGGAAAUGGCUACUGGUUUGAUGCAAAUAAUCAUGAUAUCAUUCUGACAGGUAGGCAUAAGCUACUUUGGAGCUACUGUAGUCAACAUUUAAUAGAGAGUUAACAUUUAAUACAGGUUUUUGGGAAAGCCUUUCCAUCUACCAGAAGACGGUUAUGCCUAUCAUUACCAUUGCUAUAUUUUUCCUUUUCCUUAAUUGUUUGAAACCUGGACAUUUUACUUCAUAUUAUGAGGAUGACUUACCUUGAAAGUAGCCCAUCACCAAAAUCCCACCAUAGAAACGUGGAGGAUAAUGCCUUCGACAUUAUCCUCACAUCUCCAUCUGAACCGAAAAUGAUUUGCAUUGAUACCCCCCCCCCCUUUGUUUUUACACUGCUGCUACUCGCUGUUUACUAUCGAUGCAUAGUCACUUUACCCUUACCUAUAUGUACAAAUGACCUCGAUUAACCUGUACUCCUGCACAUUCACUCGGUACCGGUACCCCAAGUAUAUAGCCUCAUUAUUGUCAUUUUAUUGUGUUCAUUUUUUAAAUGAAUUGUUUAACUUUAUUUAUUUAGUAAAUAUUUUGUUAACAUUUUGUUAAAACUGCAUUCUUGGUUUAGGGCUUGUAAGUAAGCAUUUCACAGUAAAGUCUACACCUGUUGUAUUCGGCGCAUGUGAAAAACAUUACCAGAUUGAAACAAACCUUCCACAGUUUACUAGACUGUAGAAAGCAGUGACAGAAUGUGAAACUAAUAAUGAGUCUGUGGAAGGUCUAUACCAUAAGAGGGAUUUCUGUGUCAAAUGGUUGAGAAUGUGGACUUCAUUAC